GAGUUUGAUCAUGGCUCAGAUUGAACGCUGGCGGCAGGCCUAACACAUGCAAGUCGAGCGGAUGACGGGAGCUUGCUCCUUGAUUCAGCGGCGGACGGGUGAGUAAUGCCUAGGAAUCUGCCUGGUAGUGGGGGGACAACGUUUCGAAAGGAACGCUAAUACCGCAUACGUCCUACGGGAGAAAGCAGGGGACCUUCGGGCCUUGCGCUAUCAGAUGAGCCUAGGUCGGAUUAGCUAGUUGGUGGGGUAAUGGCUCACCAAGGCGACGAUCCGUAACUGGUCUGAGAGGAUGAUCAGUCACACUGGAACUGAGACACGGUCCAGACUCCUACGGGAGGCAGCAGUGGGGAAUAUUGGACAAUGGGCGAAAGCCUGAUCCAGCCAUGCCGCGUGUGUGAAGAAGGUCUUCGGAUUGUAAAGCACUUUAAGUUGGGAGGAAGGGCAGUAAGUUAAUACCUUGCUGUUUUGACGUUUACCGACAGAAUAAGCACCGGCUAACUCUGUGCCAGCA
rnacentral:rRNA from 1 species